CUCUUAAUCACAAAAUUCAAUGGAAGUGUCUUCCCAUAACACAGAAGACACUAUUUUAUAUAGUUCUAACUGGAUUCAUUAAAAUAAAAGCUACUGGGAUUAGCAGGUGAAAUGGGCCAGUGACUAGAAGACAGAUAUUCUCAAGGAUUAUGCACAAGAGGGGAGAAAGUGAUGUAACAACAGAAGCAGAAAUUGGAGUGAUGUGGCCAGGAGACAAGGAAUGCUGUCCCACUCCAAAGCUGGAAGAAGCAAGGAACAGAUUCUCUCCUGGAGCCUCCAGAAGGAACAAGCCCUACUGAUACCUUCAUUUUAGUCACUCAAGACUCUUUUUGUGUUUUUGACUUUCAAAAUUUUAAGAGAACAAAUUAAUGUUAUUUUAACCACUACAUUUGUGGUAAUUUGUCUAGCAGCAGUAGAAAAGUAAUAUGUCAUCUGUAUUUUAUUUACCUUGCAGAAUAUGAGGUCAUUCAGAGUUUCCUGAAUCUUUGUCCUAGGUUCUAGCUUUUUGCUGUUGGGUUAUCUCAAAUUAAAUGCAUUUUAACAUGCAGAUGUGAACAAUACCCAGCAGAUGAUAUGGAGUACCAAAGAAACAGAACAGAGAAACGGAGAAAGUAAAAGAACAUGAGAUCACAAAGAAGGCCUGAUUAUGCUAUUAUUACCUAUGGGGGUUAGGGAUAGCUGUACUGCAGCAGAGGCAGUUGGGGCCAAUACUACACAGUCCUUAAGCUAAAAAUGCCAGAGGUAAGCCCGAGACCCAGCGCCAACUAAUUUAAUUAAGAAGAUCUCUGCUGGAGGGUGUCUGGGAAAGAAUUUUCUUCUUAAAGAGAGAUGGAUGAAGAUAAGACUUUUCCCUCCCUCCCUUCUUGUUGGGUAUGUUUGGUGUGAAGAUAUGCCAUACAGAUCUGCUGCACCUAUUUGGGCACCAUGAGGAAGAGGCCAACAAAAUUCUAGAGAAGGCAACCCAGUGCUCUGGCAGUAUUGAGGCUCCAAACCAGCCCUGGAAAGUUCUACAGUGGAACUCUAUCAUAUGUGCAUUAAACUGAAUUGAAAUCAUACGACUCAGCAAAAUCAACAUAACAACUGAUGACAACAAAAACAGCCAUAUGAACAAAAACUGAUGGGCAUUUUAAAAAUACAGAAUGGCUCAAAACUUAAA